rnacentral:rRNA from 1 species
UACGAAGGUCCCAAGCGUUAUCCGGAUUUAUUGGGUUUAAAGGGUGCGUAGGCGGACUAUUAAGUCAGUGGUGAAAGCCCCAAGCCUAACUUGGGAACUGCCAUUGAUACUGAUGGUCUUGAGUACAUUUGAGGUGGGCGGAAUGUGUCAUGUAGCGGUGAAAUGCUUAGAUAUGACACAGAACACCGAUUGCGAAGGCAGCUCACUAAACUGUAAACUGACGCUGAGGCACGAAAAGCGUGGGGGAGCAAACAGG